rnacentral:rRNA from 1 species
GAUGAACGCUGGCGGCGUGCCUAAUACAUGCAAGUCGAGCGAACAGACGAGGAGCUUGCUCCUCUGACGUUAGCGGCGGACGGGUGAGUAACACGUGGAUAACCUACCUAUAAGACUGGGAUAACUUCGGGAAACCGGAGCUAAUACCGGAUAAUAUAUUGAACCGCAUGGUUCAAUAGUGAAAGACGGUUUUGCUGUCACUUAUAGAUGGAUCCGCGCCGCAUUAGCUAGUUGGUAAGGUAACGGCUCACCAAGGCAACGAUGCGUAGCCGACCUGAGAGGGUGAUCGGCCACACUGGAACUGAGGCACGGUCCAGACUCCUACGGGAGGCAGCAGUAGGGAAUCUUCCGCAAUGGGCGAAAGCCUGACGGAGCAACGCCGCGUGAGUGAUGAAGGUCUUCGGAUCGUAAAACUCUGUUAUUAGGGAAGAACAAAUGUGUAAGUAACUAUGCACGUCUUGACGGUACCUAAUCAGAAAGCCACGGCUAACUACGUG